UCUGGAUCAGUUCAUGUGGGGAGAGGCGGUCCUUGAGGUAUUGCAGUCCUGAGCCCUUUAAGGCUUUAUAGGUCAAGACCAGCACUUUGAAUCGGGCCUGGAAAGUAAUUAGCGGUAAGCACAGUUUGGGCGAGGAUAGGUGUAAUACGCUUGAACUGUUUCCCCCCGCUGAGCAACCUGGCUGCUGAUUUCUGCACCAGCCGUAGAAUUAGGGAUGAGAAAGUGUGGGGCAGCAAUAGUUGUGCGGAGAACGCCACAUGGACAAGGGGGAGUUAAAGGAGGCACAAGGCAUUCAACAACCACCAGGGUAUGGACAGGCCUAAAUCUGUAUGGUGGGUUAAUUAGGCAUACAGGCCAGGUUUAUCUAGUCUCCAAACUUCUGCCAGUUUUAUGCCAGCUCAACUGUUAUGGCUGCUUCAGAAGGAUCCCCCAGGGACUUUGGUUUGGUCAGAGCCCUGAGGGUUCUGUUAAAGAUCCUUAGCACCUCCUCGCACAACUACUGUAGCAAAGUUCCCUGGGGAGGAGUGCUACGAAAAAGCAGUGUUAAGUCUGCAGCGCGUACCUAUAUGCCCAGAAAAAAAGAGACACACAGAUGCAAGCCUGCGUAUCCCCUUGGCGUGCAUCGCUCCAUAAAUCCUGCCACCUGCAUGCACACAGGCUGCUCCUUCUCCUAGGUCUGUGAUAUCAGCCUGACCCACAGAAAUGUUGCAGGCGAAGCUUCAUUCACUGUCCGCCACUGUUUCUCUAUGCUAAAUUGCUUAUCCCCUGAUAAAUUUCAGUGGGUCAGGCAGUUGGUAAAGGCCCCAGGAUCAGUAAUAAAAGUUGGCAACCCUAAUUCUGACAGGUGGCUGGUUCGCUUUAACAAAGAUGUUUCAGCAACCCCAGUAGCUAUGCUUCCAUACACACUUUAGGGGUGAAGCCCUGCUGACUAGUUUUAAACCAUUUUGCCUGUAGCUCUUUGCCCCCAUUUUAAUCCCAGCUUUCUACUUGUUUCCUCAGUGCAGAUGAUCAACUCUAAUGGAUGUGAGGGCUCCCCCUGGUUUCCUCUAGAGGGAGCAGAACCUCCAUGUUCAGAGGCAGUAUACCUCUGGUGUAAUCCACAGGGCUCAUAUGGGCUCAUCUGAUGCAGCAUUCACGCAAGCUCUCCCCCCCCCCCCAAUCCCAUGACUCUGCAGAUUUCAUUCUUUGGCACAACUCUUCAAGGCACAGGAGCCCUGCCAUCCAUUGCACUUGGUCACCCUGUGUUCAGCAUGACCAUUGAGAAAUAUCCCUGAAGAAUGCACAUCAGGAGAGAAGUGCGGUAAAUGCGAACACAUGCCCCAAAGCACUUGCGCGCGUGCACACACACACACACACACACACACACACAGAUGCAUGAAUACAGACCCCAACUCAAGACAAUCAGGUCCAUCCCUCCUGGUUUGGCUGCCUCUCCUAUUUUUUGUUUUUAACCAGGUAAUCCACAGAGAGCAGGUUGGGGAGCAGUGAAGUGGGACUUCUGAGAGAUGCUUCUGUUUGGUGUGUGGAACGGGGAGCAGGGAAAGAACCAAGUUCCUAAUAUCUCUCAUGAUCUGGAGGUGAGGGUAGGGGAAAAUGGUUUGCAGGGCCACUGGCUUCGCUGGGUAUCUCCGAACCCUGCAGCCUCCAGACCUUGCUGCUCCUCCUUGCUUUCACCAUCUACUCACCUGCUUAGAGCGAGGAAAGAGCAGCAUCUUCUGCUUGCCUUGUGCUCUCCACUCUGGGUGGUUGCACUAGUUGGGCUCGGAGGGAGAUGGCAAAAUGACGGGCAGCAGGAGCAAGACAUGAGGUGGGCAGGCUCCAAAGUCUGGAGAUGAGUGGUUACUGCUAAAUGCAGAAAUGUGUAUGUGUGUGUCCCAGCAGGGUCCCACGCAGGCCCUGGUCUCUGUUCUGCCCCAGGCUUCUCUGUGUUCGUUGGCACCUUCUAUGGAAAGUGCAAUUUCACAGACAGCUGGCCAUCUUUUAGGAGAAGCGAGGCCUUUGGAAAAAGUAGCUCAUUCCUAAAAAUUUAAGGGAGCUGCUCUGUGGCAAGGGAUGGACCAAGGGAUGGACAGAGACCAGGGCAUCUCUCACCAGCUAUGUGCCAUCUUGACUGGAGAGGACAGGUUUGCUGAAGGUGUGAUGACGGUCAGGUACCGCAAUGGUCCCUUGUAGCUAUUUUGAGGCAGCUCUGGCACAGCCUACAAGGAUGACAGUGAAAGAUGAGGGACGAAGGGCUGAAGGACUGUUCAGGUGAUGUGGAGGGGAGGGGAGAGGGAGGAAGAAAAGCAGGUUCAGUUCAAGGAGAUCCCUUCCAGUCAAGGAUGCUUGAGUAGUUAUCAUGGCUUCCUCCCCUCGCCACAACUUUGUGCAAACCCAGUCCAAAGUCGGUGGACCACCCUGCCCCACAACUAGCCUCUGGGCAGCCCUCCCCUUCCUGCCACCCCCCUUGAUGCACCUGCAGAGCUGUGCCCCAAAGCCUAUGCACCCCUCCCCCACUUUCCCCCAUCCUCUCCAGCCCUUGCUCUAGGCUCCCUGCCCCCAAAUGCACAAUAUUGUUUCCGUGUGUCCCUGUUUCUGCCCUGCCCUGCUCCCGAUGUAUGCCCCUGGCUGGUACGAGUGUCUGUUUUCGUUCUGUUUGUAUCUGUAAUUCAUUAAAAGGCUGGUUCUACCUGA